UACAGAGGGGGCAAGCGUUGUUCGGAAUUAUUGGGCGUAAAGGGCGCGUAGGCGGUUUGACAAGUCUGAUGUGAAAUCUAUGGGCUCAACCCAUAGCCUGCAUUAGAAACUGUCGGGCUUGAGUAUGGGAGAGGUGAGUGGAAUUUCCGGUGUAGCGAUGAAAUGCGUAGAUAUCUGGAGGAACACCGGUGGCGAAGGCGGCUUUCUGGACAAAUACCG
rnacentral:rRNA from 1 species